UGGGCAACCUGCCCUCAGCACUGGGAUAACCCCGGGAAACCGGGGCUAAUACCGGAUACGACCUCGGCGGGCAUCCGCUGAGGUGGAAAGUGUCAGUGGCUGAGGAUGGGCCCGCGGCCUAUCAGCUUGUUGGUGGGGUAACGCCUACCAAGGCGACGACGGGUAGCUGAUCUGAGAGGAUGGCCAGCCACAUUGGGACUGAGACACGGCCCAGACUCCGUACGGGGAGGCCA
rnacentral:rRNA from 1 species